UAAGAAGUUGCAGAAGAGAAAGAAAGAAUAAUAGGAGUUCUGUGAGCUUUAGAGGUGCAGCAACAAUGGUGAAACCUACCACUAAUUGCUCCUGAUACCAUGUAAGAAGGAAGAAUCAACCUUCAUGAAUGCAGCGGAUUAAGGAGAAACUCAUAGCAAUAGGCGCAAAGCAAGCUCAAGUUUUAUUAACUCACAAAACUGAUUUGGUACAAUAGAGUGAUCUCCUAUAUAUAGGAUUUAAAACAAG
rnacentral:lncRNA from 1 species